UCCGGUUUGUCACCGGCAGUCUCAUUAGAGUGCCCUUUCGUAGCAACUAAUGACAAGGGUUGCGCCCCUUGCGGGGACCACCCAUCUCUGGGCUUAGCACGGGAUGUCAAGGCCUGGUAAGGUUCUGCGCGUUGCGUCGAAUUAAACCACAUGCUCCACCGCUUGUGCGGGCCCCCGUCAAUUCCUUUGAGUUUCAACCUUGCGGCCGUACUCCCCAGGCGGGAUGCUUAAUGCGUUAGCUGCGCCACUGAUAAGCAUGCUUACCAACGGCUAGCAUCCAUCGUUUACGGCGUGGACUAC
rnacentral:misc_RNA from 1 species